ensembl:snoRNA U3 Small nucleolar RNA U3
AAGACUUUAUCCCCCCACCCCCCAAAGAAAAGGAAGAAGAAGAGUUUUUAAAUGGCGCAGCCCUGGAAUCCACAAGGAGGAGGUUCAGUAUUCUCUCCUGAGCGUGAAGUUGGUUCUUGGCGUUGCUUCACUGCAACUGCUAUUUGCCAUUGACGAUUGUUCUUCUCUUCAUCUGAGAGAGUUAAGAGGGAGAGGAUGCAGUCUGAGUGAU